GGUAUUUGCAAAGAAGUCUAAAAAUCAAAAUUUAAAUUGCUUGCUAUUGUUUCAAAACAUCAAAAUUGAUGGUGACUAUGUGCAUAAAGAGUUAAGGACCUUUGUUGUUUUAGUUAUCUUGUCUUUCUUUUGCAGUUCAAAUGCCUAUACUAUUUUCUGAGUUCGUGGCUUCAGCCUUCCUGCACAGUCAGCAACUUAUUUUCCAAGUACAUGAACCAAAUAAACUCUGGGUUCUCGUAGACUGGUACUGCAUAUCUCAUCUCAACAGUCUAAGCCUAUUGGAGAAGAGUUGUCUAUACUGUUGAAAAUUGUUAGGCAAGGAUGCACCUCAAAAUAGAAUGCACUGAACCUCUUUCAUCAACAGUUUUAUCGUGGUUUGCCAUCUAAACAACUGUGGGAGUUGAGUACUUGUUUAACCAUAUGGCAAAGCAAAAGGCAUUAUAUCCAACAGGAAAACCCCAGCAGAGAAUUCACCAUUUGCUGAAACCAAUUUGUCAGUUGGUUUCUCAACUGGAAGAGAUGUGCCUCUAAGAGUGUCUAGUGUAUUAGAUGAAGAUAGAGGAAGAGUUGUAGCAGACAUAGAUCAAUGAAGAAAAUUGAGAUAUCCAUAAGAAAUGCAAGAGGUAUUGCACGAUUGAGAUCUUUCUACUUGUUAAAUAUUCUUCAUUAUAUAUAAUUGAAGAAGGAAAUGUUCUGCCCA